CAAUUCGUAUCCGGAAGAUUUAGGAAAAGGAAACACAAUCGCUGUUGGGGUUUUCUUUUCUUCAAAACAAGAGUUAGGAAAUACGGUAAAUUUGACAUCAUUACAAAAUUAUAUAAUAAACAUAGCAAAACCUUAAUCUUAUCGUAAUCGCACCGGAACAAAUUGUUCCAAAUGAUAAUGUACCGACUUUAUUGUAAUUAAAUUUGUACCCAAUUAUCUCUCAUUGAUGAGAUGCAGAAAUUAAUUUUCUACGUGUAUUUCCCGCAAGUCACAUGACUUUGAAGCCAGAACUUUUAGAUCUUUGAUUUGUAUGGGUUUAUCACUUCAUAAAGACAAACGGCUGCGGUUGAAAGUCUCCUCCAGCGAACAAUUUAUCGAUUGAGGGGUCACAGGCACUGCCAGCCAUUUCCAUCAAUUCACAGACGCUUCCAUCAGAUUCUAAUUCUCCUGAAUAUUAUCCGUGGCCUUAUCAGAACCCCUGCUUCCUGGGAUUCCAAGGUGCUGCUUUCUGCUACCAGAAUGACGGGGCGCAGGUUGUGCCUAUCGGCAUAACAACCACGCAGCCAGGUAAGGUUGCUAAACUACACUCAACAAAAGAGGCACAAUGAAUAAAAUAUUUAAGUUGUUUGCGUUGAGAACAAAAUGGAAUGGAACUCCCCGGACAAUUCAGCCUGAAUGACUCGGAUCCAGCUUGUGUGAAUUUCUUAAAAAGGAGUCAUAAGGUGGCUAAGUAUGCAACCUGUGUUUGCAUUUCCUGCAAUGCCUGAGCCUACGUGGUUCUGAUGAGAGACCAUGAACGAUCUCCUGGGUGGGUCAUAAAGGUCUGGAUCGGGAGAUCAAUCAGCUGCUGGAGGAGUCAUGGGUGUAAUGUCCCAGAGGUGCGUCGGUGGAUUGAGGUUUGGGGAAACAGUGGACUCCUCAAUGUCAUCAGUGCCUUUUUUUAGUUUAAAAUACCUCACCCACGCUCUUGUAUCGGAUCAAAGGUCAGUCUUUUUUGGGUCAACUCUCUUCAACUUGCAACUUUAACCUGAUAACAUACAAUUGACCUUUUGUGCUUUGUUUUGGCUUAUUUUGUAACGUGUGCAAGUUUUUGUGUGUGUAUUGAUUAUUACAGUAAGUAUACUAUCAUUUAACCCCUUGGCUUUGUUCUAUUGGAUCUUUUUUUGCUUCUUCGGACAGUCUGGCAUCUUAAAGUGAGUGUGUGUAUUUUUGCUUGUUUGCAUGAAGUUGGACCUAACACCAGUCUUUUCAUUUCUGCUUAUUUUUAACACUAUACUACUAACAGUGCUGUACAGUGUUGUUGAUACAAUCAGCAGAGGGAUCAUCCGCUUGUUAAAGUAAAAUAAUUCAAAUUCAUUGUCAGCGUUGUAAGCCAUUAGACGACUUUUCGAAAUGAAUAAUAUUCUACAAUGUGUCUAGGAUGGCUCUUGUUUAGCCAAGCAAAUCACACGGUAUGUAAAAAUGUCAUUUUGACGCAUUUUAAUGUGUCCAAAUCUCUGCUGUUUUAUUAUAUAUAUGAUGAUAACACUGUUCAACAUAUUUUUACUAAUUAUUUUCAAUGUGUCCAAAUCUCUGCUGUUUUAUUUUAUAUAUGAUGAUAACACUGUUCAACAUAUUUUUACGAAUGAUUUUUUAAUCAGACAUGAAAGUAUGUAGAUUUCCAAUCUGCCCUCAUUUUUUGCAAGCAUGUCAGGUUUCUAUAACAAUAUAUGUCAAACCUAAAAUCAAAACAUAAGGGGAAACAUUUUAUUUUUUAAAAAUCAGCGUCAAAAAUACAUGAAGCCAUCUCUGAUUGUGCUGUUGCCCAGUGUACUAAUAUGAAUGAAUGAAGGAAUGAAUGCAAACAAAACCGGAUGUGUUUAAUAUCUCUGACGUACCCACAGGUGACCCGACAGCCUCCCAGCUACAGUACACCGGCCCCAUUUUCACACAGGCUAUGCCACAGGGCGGCGUUCCUCGUAAACAGUCCGAACGCAGCUUGAUGAAGAACAGGGUCGCUGCCCGGGAAUACAGGAGGAGGAAAAAGGUUUAUAUUCAAGAUCUUGAGAAACGUGCGGAGAAGCUUGAAACGGAAAAUAAGGCUUUGAAGGAACAACUUAAAAUCUGGAAAAUGGAUCAACAGAGAUUUCAAUAGUUUUUUCACUGCAAGCUGUUUGGAAUUGCAUAGAGUGAAUCAGAUAACAUUUAUUUUUUUAUGAUAUCAGGACGCAUUUGCACACCCUGCAACCCAUAUACUUAGGGGUGUAACGAUUCAUCGAUACACAUCGAUUAAUCGAUAUAAUGCUCUACGAUUCAUUGGCAUCGAUGCUAAACGUAAACAUCGAUUUAUAUCGCCGUGUUUGACCUCGGACAUUAGACGCGACUUUGUUUUGAAAUCCAGUUCAUUGUUGCUUGCUUCCUCUUUCCGGGAGCAGUGAGCGGCGUGUUGUGUUGUGAGCAGAGCAGGCACGUGAAAGGGGAGUCGACAACUAGUACGCGGCUCCUGCUAUGGCUAGUGUCCAAAAAGACGAGGAAAUUUGCUCCCCUUUAGGCUUCAAGUCAUUCGUUUGGAAGCACUUUGGAUUCCAAAGAAAAGAUGGCUCAACGGGCAAGACACGUGCAGUUUGUAAAUCCUGCCAUGCGGUGAUCAAAUAUUCAGGGACCACAAAUCUCUAUUUGUAUUUAAAGAAAAAACACGACAUCAAAGUUCAGUGUUAAAAUAAGCACUUUGUAUACUACAAUACUCUUGUGAUUUCCUAAAUAAAGAGUUUGCAGUACCUUGUUGAUUUUGCGUAUGAAUUGUUAUAAAUCAGGAUAUUGUUUUAUAUUUUUUAUUUAAAAAAAAAAUAGAAAAUCCAUCGUAGAGCACUAUCUCGCCAUGUAUCGUGAAUGAAUCACAGCAGGCUUUAAGAUAUCAGCAAAUAUCGUAUCGUAGUUCUUUGUAUCGAUAUGAUAUCGUAUCGUGACAAAACCCGCGAUUUACACCCCUAAAAGAGAAUAUCGAGAAUACUUGAAAUACGUAUUUAAAUGACAAAUAAUCCAAUUGUGUUUUCUACUCCUUUUGUAUAAUAGGCAUUUUCCCAUCCAGGUGUCAUGUGACACGUUUAUUGGACCGAAAGAGUUUUAAUCUGUAAUAACAGUAUUCACCACCAGAUGACAGGCAUGUCUUACUAGUACUGCCUAGAGAAAAGGGAAGAGUGGGUCAGAACCAAACUGGUCACGUCUAUUUUGACUUUUAAGUCAAAUAAAAAUCGGAUUAUUCAUUGAAUUAAAAAGCUAUGUAAUUUUGAGAUGAGAGCAGAAGAGAAAGCUGAUUAAUUGAAAAAAAUCUCCCAGAGCAACUCCCAUGAAAUCAUUUGCUUACAGUGCUUUGGCAGAUCCGAUGAAAAAACAUUGUCACAUUGGGAAAAUAGCAGGCAGCUGAGUAACUCCAUACCUCGGCGCAGCUGCUAUGUGCCGAAGACUCGAGCGAACGUAUGUUAGCCCCAAAAUCCUAUGUGGCCAUCUGUUACGUCGCAAAAACACUCUUGGUAUAUCUGCACAUGGCUAAUAAAGUGAAUUACC